rnacentral:rRNA from 1 species
UACGUAGGGUGCAAGCGUUGUCCGGAAUUAUUGGGCGUAAAGAGCUCGUAGGUGGUCUGUUGCGUCGGCUGUGAAAUCCCGAGGCUCAACCUCGGGCCUGCAGCCGAUACGGGCAGACUAGAGUUCGGCAGGGGUGACUGGAAUUCCUGGUGUAGCGGUGAAAUGCGCAGAUAUCAGGAGGAACACCGGUGGCGAAGGCGGGUCUCUGGGCCGAAAUUGACGCUGAGGAGCGAAAGCGUGGGGAGCAAACAGG